rfam:Paenibacillus sp. MY03 contig6, whole genome shotgun sequence.
UACAUCCUGCGAUGUUCGUCACGGUCCUUCGUUGUUUUGAACCAAUGGCUGUUUCACGGGAGACCUAAAUCGCCAAGCGGCUGUCAUGCCCUCGAAAAGGGACUUCAAAAGCGUGGCUGCGGACACCCACCUGCGAGAGCGGGUUCAGAAACAUGUGGAUCGGACGGCAUAGGCGGGUUCCUA